GACGAACGCUGGCGGCGUGCUUAACACAUGCAAGUCGAACGGAAAGGCCCUGCUUUUGUGGGGUGCUCGAGUGGCGAACGGGUGAGUAACACGUGAGUAACCUGCCCUUGACUUUGGGAUAACUUCAGGAAACUGGGGCUAAUACCGGAUAGGAGCUCCUGCUGCAUGGUGGGGGUUGGAAAGUUUCGGCGGUUGGGGAUGGACUCGCGGCUUAUCAGCUUGUUGGUGGGGUAGUGGCUUACCAAGGCUUUGACGGGUAGCCGGCCUGAGAGGGUGACCGGCGACAUUGGGACUGAGAUACGGCCCAGAAUCCUACGGGAGGCAGCAGUGGGGAAUAUUGCACAAUGGGCGGAAGCCUGAUGCAGCAACGCCGCGUGCGGGAUGACGGCCUUCGGGUGGUAAACCGCUUUCGCCUGUGACGAAGCGUGAGGGACGGUAAUGGGUAAAGAAGCACCGGCUAAAUACGGG
rnacentral:rRNA from 1 species